rnacentral:rRNA from 1 species
CCUACGGGUGGCAGCAGUGAGGAAUAUUGGUCAAUGGUCGCGAGCCUGAACCAGCCAAGUCGCGUGAGGGAUGAAGGUACAGUGUAUUGUAAACCUCUUUUGUCAGGGAGCAAAAGAGGGCACGUGUCCCCGGCUGAGUGUACCCGAAGAAAAAGCAUCGGCUAACUCCGUGCCAGCAGCCGCGGUAAUACGGGGGAUGCGAGCGUUAUCCGGCUUUAUUGGGUUUACAGGGUGCGCAGGCGGUAUGUUCAGUCAGCGGUCAAAGCCCGGGGCUCAACCCCUGCCCGCCGUUGAAACUGGCAGUCUCGAGUUGGAGAGAAGUAUGCGGAAUGCGCGGUGUAGCGGUGAAAUGCAUAGAUAUCGCGCAGAACUCCGAUUGCGAAGGCAGCAUGCCGGCGCCACACUGACGCUGAGGCACGAAAGCGUGGGUAUCGAACAGGAUUAGAUACCCGAGUAGUC